GAUGAAGAACGCAGCGAAAUGCGAUAAGUAAUGUGAAUUGCAGAAUUCAGUGAAUCAUCGAAUCUUUGAACGCACAUUGCGCCCUCUGGUAUUCCGGGGGGCAUGCCUGUUCGAGCGUCAUUACAACCCUCAAGCUUUGCUUGGUAUUGGACAUUGCCAGUUUCUGGCAGGUCUUAAAAUCAGUGGCGGUGCCAUUUGGCUUCAAGCGUAGUAAUUCUUCUCGCUUUGGAGAUCCAAGUGGUUACUUGCCAAUAACCCCCAAUUUUUUCAGGUUGACCUCGGAUCAGGUAGGGAUACCCGCUGAACUUAAGCAUAUCAAAAGCGGAGGA
rnacentral:misc_RNA from 1 species